rnacentral:piRNA from 1 species
UGAGCAGGGCUGAUCUCUCCGCUGC